GCCCCCGAGGCCCAAGCGGAAGGGCACCGGUCUUCUAAACCGGUGGAUGCAGGUUCGAAUCCUGCCGGGGGUGCCA
rnacentral:tRNA from 1 species